rnacentral:misc_RNA from 1 species
GCGGAGGGAUCAUUACAGAGUUGCAAAACUCCCUAAACCAUUGUGAACGUUACCUUCAAACCGUUGCUUCGGCGGGCGGCCCGGGUCCGCCCGGUGCCCCCUGGCCCCCUAGCGGGGCGCCCGCCGGAGGAAACCCAACUCUUGAUUAUUAUGGCCUCUCUGAGUCUUCUGUACUGAAUAAGUCAAAACUUUCAACAACGGAUCUCUUGGUUCUGGCAUCGAUGAAGAACGCAGCGAAAUGCGAUAAGUAAUGUGAAUUGCAGAAUUCAGUGAAUCAUCGAAUCUUUGAACGCACAUUGCGCCCGCCAGUAUUCUGGCGGGCAUGCCUGUUCGAGCGUCAUUUCAACCAUCAAGCCCCAGGCUUGUGUUGGGGACCUGCGGCUGCCGCAGGCCCUGAAAACCAGUGGCGGGCUCGCUGUCACACCGGGCGUAGUAGAUUUUAUCUCGCUCAGGGCGUGCUGCGGGUUCCGGCCGUUAAAAGCCUUUUUUACCCAAGGUUGACCUCGGAUCAGGUAGGAAUACCCGCUGAACUUAAGCAUAUCAAUA